UACGGGGGGGCAAGCGUUGUUCGGAAUUCCUGGGCGUAAAGGGCUCGUAGGCGGUUUGUCGCGUCGGGAGUGAAAACCCAGGGCUUAACCCUGGGCUGGCUUCCGAUACGGGCAGACUAGAGGUAUGCAGGGGAGAACGGAAUUCCUGGUGUAGCGGUGAAAUGCGCAGAUAUCAGGAGGAACACCGGUGGCGAAGGCGGAUCUCUGGGCCGAUACUGACGCUGAGGAGCGAAAGCGUGGGGAGCGAACAGG
rnacentral:rRNA from 1 species